GACAGAGGUGCCGAGCGUUAGGCGGAAUCACUGGGCUUAAAGCGUGUGUAGGCGGAUUUGUAAGUACCUUGUGAAAUCCCAUGGCUCAACCAUGGAACUGCUCGGUAUACUGCUUAUCUUGAGCCACUUAGGGGCAGUGGAACAGAUGGUGUAGUGGUGAAAUGCGUAGAGAUCCGGAGGAAUACCAGUGGCGCAAGCGGCGCUCUGGGUCGAGCCUGACACUGAGACGGCGAAGGCAUGGGGAGCGAACGGG
rnacentral:rRNA from 1 species